rnacentral:rRNA from 1 species
CCUACGGGAGGCAGCAGUGAGGAAUAUUGGUCAAUGGGCGUAAGCCUGAACCAGCCAAGUCGCGUGAGGGAUGAAGGUUCUAUGGAUCGUAAACCUCUUUUAUAAGGGAAUAAAGUGUGGGACGUGUCCUAUUUUGUAUGUACCUUAUGAAUAAGGAUCGGCUAACUCCGUGCCAGCAGCCGCGGUAAUACGGAGGAUCCGAGCGUUAUCCGGAUUUAUUGGGGUUAAAGGGUGCGUAGGCGGCCUUUUAAGGCAGCGGGGAAGGUCUGUGGCUCAACCAUAGAAUUGCCGUUGAAACUGGUGGGCUUGGGUAUGUUUGAGGCAGGCGGAAUGCGUGGUGUAGCGGUGAAAUGCUGAGAUAUCACGCAGAACCCCGAUGGCGAAGGCAGCCUGCCAAGCCAUGACUGACGCUGAUGCACGAAAGCGUGGGGAUCAAACAGGAUUAGAUACCCGUGUAGUC